CAGUAGCCGCGGUAAUACGUAGGGUGCGAGCGUUAAUCGGAAUUACUGGGCGUAAAGCGUGCGCAGGCGGUGAUGUAAGACAGUUGUGAAAUCCCCGGGCUCAACCUGGGAACUGCAUUUGUGACUGCAUCGCUGGAGUGCGGCAGAGGGGGAUGGAAUUCCGCGUGUAGCAGUGAAAUGCGUAGAUAUGCGGAGGAACACCGAUGGCGAAGGCAAUCCCCUGGGCCUGCACUGACGCUCAUGCACGAAAGCGUGGGGAGCAAACAGGAUUAGAUACCCCAGUAGUCCCUGUCUCUUAUAC
rnacentral:rRNA from 1 species